GGAAAAUUUAAUGUUUACCAUUUAGAUGAAUCUGCGUUCUAAGCUUUGAUGAUUUUAUGAUAAUAUUGAUCUAUGAUGCCUACUCAUAAAUAAUGUCAACUGCAGAUAAAUCGAUAGUUGGUUUUAGGUGCAGCUGGAAAAAGCACGAUGUACAUUAGUGAAGGAGCUCUAAUAGCAUGGGUUGGAGAGCAACUAGCUGAUGAAGGUCAUCGAACAACGAAGAUUUGUUUCCAGCUGUUAAAUGCUCUUCCGUGCGAUCUUGACGCAUUGGAUGGAAAUAUUUUCGAACAGCAAUUAAACCUGCUGCUAGAUCAAAGCAGAGCACACAAUAUCCGACUGCAUGCUGGUGGCUACUUCCAGUUAGAUUACAGAAUUUUUGGAUCAAUUGCUACUUCAGUUGCUACUUACACAAUAAUCAUCCUUCAGUUUCUACCGAACUAAGCACCGAUUAACGUUUUCAAUUUAAUUAUGGAUUUUCAUUUUUUUUCUAUAAUAUACUAUGGAGUGCUGAACUGACGCAUUUUUAUUCCUGCAUCUGGAUAGUCGCACUCAGCAAAAGUUUCUGUGCAACUGGAAAUUACACAAUUUUAAUGGAUAAAAAUACGAUUAAAAUUUGUAUUAAUUCGUCCAAGGAAUUGGCGCAAUUUGUAUGAUUUUUUUUUGUUGCCUUGGCAAUAUAUUUUAUUGCAAUUUUGAUGUAAAUUGAGAAUGAACAAAUACUCUUUCCACUAAGCACCUUUUGACUUCAAUAAUUUAUGUAACGGUUUUUCAAAUUUUUGCUUUGCGGGAAUGUAAUAGCUUGAGAAUUUGAAAACUAGAAAAACAAUUUCAAAUCCAUACUGUAAAUAUUAUUGA